AGGAUAAAGAAUCAGAUGAGCUGAAGGAC
rnacentral:piRNA from 1 species